ACUGUCCUACGGGACGCAGCAGUGGGGAAUAUUGCACAAUGGGGGAAACCCUGAUGCAGCGACGCCGCGUGAGUGAAGAAGUAAUUCGCUAUGUAAAGCUCUCUCAGCAGGGAAGAAAAUGACGGUACCUGAGUAAGAAGCCCCGGCUAACUACGUGCCAGCAGCCGCGGUAAUACGUAGGGGGCAAGCGUUAUCCGGAUUUACUGGGUGUAAAGGGAGCGUAGACGGCAGUGCAAGUCUGG
rnacentral:rRNA from 1 species